rnacentral:rRNA from 1 species
GACGAACGCUGGCGGCAUGCCUAACACAUGCAAGUCGAACGAGACCUUCGGGUCUAGUGGCGCACGGGUGCGUAACGCGUGGGAAUCUGCCCUUGGGUUCGGAAUAACUCAGAGAAAUUUGAGCUAAUACCGGAUGAUGACGUAAGUCCAAAGAUUUAUCGCCCAAGGAUGAGCCCGCGUAGGAUUAGCUAGUUGGUGAGGUAAAGGCUCACCAAGGCGACGAUCCUUAGCGGUCUGAGAGGAUGAUCAGCCACACUGGGACUGAGACACGGCCCAGACUCCUACGGGAGGCAGCAGUGGGGAAUAUUGGACAAUGGGCGGAAAAGCCUGAUCCAGCAAUGCCGCGUGAGUGAUGAAGGCCUUAGGGUUGUAAA